GAGGUUCCUAUCUGAUCUGAUGGCUGAUGUAGAAUCCUACAUGUUUGGGACUCAGUGAUCGAGAAUUAGGAUUCUCUGAUCACGAGUUCCACACAUUAUGGGUACCGGGGUCAAGAGUCCCACUGGUUGGGACUUUUCGAUCAGGGUUACAUAUCGAUGAAUUCUGAUGCUCGAUUGCCCAUCUGAUUUGGAUUAAGUAUUUAUGAGAG
rnacentral:lncRNA from 1 species